GUAUAUAUAUACAAUAUAUGUUCUAAUAGUGUUUUUGUUGUGUCAUGUUUUUAUUGUUUUGAGAAUUGUGCAAACUGUGAAUAGACAAAAAGCUUCAAAUACGUUUUAUAGGUCAGAUGUUUUCAAGGUCACCACUUUAUUUUCACUUGUUUGCACUCAUGUCUGCUAACUUUACAUAUAUAAACCAUUGUUUUAUCAAUCAUGAUGGCACCACCUAUUAUGUGUGAAAAUGAUAAUCAGAUUUGGCUGCAAAUAAUGGUAUACAGUUCCUUUCAGAAAGUAUUCAGACCCCUUGACUUUUUCCACAUUUUGUUACGUUAAAGCCUUAUUCUAAAAUUGAUUAAAUAAGAAAAUCCUCAGCAAUCUACACGCAAUACCCCAUAAUAACAAAUCGAAAACAGGUUUUUAGAUUUCUUUGCAAAUUUAUAAAAUAUAAAAAACAGAUUAUUUACAUAAGUAUUCAGACCCUUUUGCUGUGAGACUUGAAAUUGAGCUCAGGUGCAUCCUGUUUCCAUUGAUCAUCCUUGAGAUGUUUCUACAACUUUAUUGGAGCCCACCUGUGGUAAAUUCAAUUGAUUGGAUAUGAUUUGGAAAGGCACACACCUGUCUAUAUAAGGUUCCACAGUUGAAAAUCCAUGUCAAAGCAAAAACCAAGCCAUGAGAGCUCAGAGACAGGAUUGUGUCGAGGCACCGAUCUGGGGAAGGGUACCAAAACAUUUUUGUAGCACUGAUGAAGGUCCCCAAGAACACAGUGGCCUUCAUCAUUCUUAAAUGGAAGAAGUUUGGUCGUCUGGCCAAACUGAGCAAUCGGUAGAGAAGGGCCUUGGUCAGGGAGGUGACCAAGAACCCACUGGUCACUCUGAUAGAGCUCCAGAGUUCCUCUGUGGAGAUGCGAGAACCUUCCAGAAGGACAACUAUCUCUGCAGCAUUCCACCAAUCAGGCCUUUUAUUGUAGAGUGGCUAGACGGAAGCCACUCCUCAGUAAAAGGCACUUGAUGAAAACCUGCUCCAGAGCGCUCAGGACAACAACCCUAAGCACACAGCCAAGACAACGCAGGAGUGGCUUUGGAACAAGUCUCUGAAUGUCCUUGAGUGGCCCAGCCAGAGCCCGGACUUAAACCCGAUCGAACAUCUCUGGAGAGACCUGAAACUAACUGUGCAGCAAUGCUCCCCAUCCAACCUGACAGAGCUUGAGAGAAAUUCUAUAAACCUGUUUUUGCCUUGUCAUUAUGGGGUAUUGUGUGUAGAUUGAUGAGGUAAAAUAACGAUUUAAUCAAUUUUAGAAUCAGGCUGUAACGUACAAAUAUGUGGAAAAAGUCAAAGGGUCUGAAUACUUUCAGGGGAAUUAUUUGUUGGGUUAACAUGAAUUGAAAGAGCAGUGUCUUCUUUCAUUUACUUCUGCCAAUUCAAAGUCUAUUUGGUUGUGAAUCUUCCUUAUUAUGUUGUACCACAUUUUGGUGAGCUUGAGAAACCUUUUUUCUUUUUCUUUUGUUUUCCUUUGUGUGUAGCCUAUGAUAGAAACUUUGCUGCUUGGUUGACAAUGCAGUUUUCCAACAGAGAGAAGCAGAUAAGUGGCUAAAUAUAGUAUGUUGAUGUGCCAUUUUUGUUCCACUUGACCUGUUAAAAGGUAAGUUCAAAGCCGCAUAGUGAACAUGGAUUAAUAUUUGAAACCCCAAAUAUAAUCUUUUUUUUAUAUGAUCAGAUAUCAACAUAACUCUGACAAAGAUUACAAUUACAGUAACGUUUGUUCUACAGACUACAUUUUUGUAUUUUUCCACUUGUAUGUCUGUCAUUUGGGAAAGGAUUUAAUUUUAAACUAUUUUCAAGACUCAUACCGUAUUUUCCCUGAUUACAUAAUCCUUUUUCUUUCCUUUUUUUCUUACAACAAAAGGACUGAGACUGACACAAAGCUUUCACCUGUCAAGAUGUUCUAAGGUGACCGCCAUUAAAGAGAC
rnacentral:lncRNA from 1 species